UUGGCUUAGAAGCAGCCAUCCUUUAAAGAAAGCGUAACAGCUCACUGGUCUAGACAAGCCGGCCUGCGCCGAAGAUGUAACGGGGCUAAAGCCACAUACCGAAGCUGAGGACGUGAUUUAUCACGUGGUAGCAGAGCGUUCUGUAGGCCUGCGAAGCGUAAUCGUGAGAUUGCGUGGAGGUAUCAGAAGUGAGAAUGCUGACAUGAGUAGCGAUAAAGAGUGUGAGAAACACUCUCGCCGUAAGCCCAAGGGUUCCUGCGCAAGGCUAAUCCGCGCAGGGUGAGUCGGCCCCUAAGACGAGGGCGAAAGCCGUAGUCGAUGGGAAUCAGGUUAAUAUUCCUGAACCUGUUGGUAGUGACGGAUGACGUAAGUUGUACAUGCUUAACGGAUUGUGUGUGCAGCGAAGUUGUCCCAGGAAAUAGCUCCAACAUUAAGACCGUACCCCAAACCGACACAGGUGGGCAGGUAGAGCAUACCGAGGCGCUUGAGAGAACGAUGUUGAAGGAACUCGGCAAAUUGCCCCCGUAACUUCGGGAGAAGGGGGACCUCCAUUUAGGCAACUAGAUGGGGGUGGCACAGACCAGGGGGUGGCGACUGUUUAUUAAAAACACAGGGCUCUGCGAAGUAGAUAAUACGACGUAUAGGGUCUGACGCCUGCCCGGUGCCGGAAGGUUAAGAGGAGAGGUGCAAGCUUUGAAUCGAAGCCCCGGUAAACGGCGGCCGUAACGAUAACGGUCCUAAGGUAGCGAAGUUCCUUGUCGGGUAAGUUCCGACCUGCAUGAAUGGUGUAAUGACUUCCCCACUGUCUCCAACAAAGACUCAGUGAAAUUGAACUACCCGUGAAGAUGCGGGUUAUUUGCAGCUAGACGGAAAGACCCCGUGCACUUUUACUAUAAGCAUAUAGUGUAAAGUUUUUAUUUUUGUGUAGAAUAGGUGGGAGCUAUUUGAAGUCGUUACGCAAGUAACUUACUUAAGCUUUUAUGAAAUACCACCCUUUUUUAAAAACUUUACUAACUUUAAAGGACAUUUUAUGCUGGGUAGUUUAGCUGGGGCGGCUGCCUCCUAAAAAGUAACGGAGGCGUGCAAAGGCAAACUCAAACAAUAUUUAUUGUUUUAGAGCGUAAUGGUAUAUGUUUGCUUGACUGUAAGAUUGAUAAAUCAAGCAGAGAUGAAAGUCGGCCAUAGUGAUCCGGUGGUUCUUCGUGGAAAGACCAUCGCUCAACAAAUAAAAAGUACGCCGGGGAUAACAGGCUGAUGCCUCUCUAGAGCUCUUAUCGACAGGGGCGUUUGGCACCUCGAUGUCGGCUCAUCUCAUCCUGGGGCUGGAGCAGGUCCCAAGGGUACGGC
rnacentral:rRNA from 13 species